AGGUGAUGGAAACUACUGUGUGUUUCUAGUUUUAUAAAUAUAUACAUGUAGUUUCUACUCGGCAGCAUGCAAUACCUACAUGUAAAACUGCACUUUAGCAGCAGUUGGCUCAUCCAAGUACAUGCAUGGCUGCAUUGACGAAUACCAGUUCACUUGCUGUUAUGAAGUCAGUCCAACAUGGCGGCGCACAUAGCACGACGUUGUUGUUAUUUUCUCUGUCGUAGUACAGCAGUUAACACGAUUCCACAACAUCUAAAACGGAGGGAUGUCGUAUUAAGAGACAUCAACAACACUUUACAUUUGCGUGUUGCUUACGGGACUCGAGGAGCAGACACCACAGAGGUUAGUUUAAAAACACUGAUUCCCAAGUGCAUAUUCCAGUGGACCGCCUGAAAGUAUCCUACAGCAGAAGCAGUGGGCCUGGUGGUCAGAAUGUAAAUAAAGUCAGCACAAAGGCUGAGGUCCGAUUCCAUGUGCUAACAGCAGAGUGGAUCCCAGAGGAUGUUCGACGGAAAAUCUUUGAAACGAACAAAAACCGCAUCAAUAAGGCUGGGGAGCUGCUGGUGACCUCAGAGCUGAGCAGGAGUCAGAACAGAAACCUCUCUGAUUGCAUACAGAAGAUUUCUGCCAUCAUAGCUGAGGCCAGCGAGAAGCCACAUGAACCAACAGCAGAGGACGUAGCUCUCAGGGCAGCCAGGUUAGCGAGGCGGGACAAGGAGCGACUCAAAGAGAAGAAGAUCCAAUCAGCUACCAAGAAGAGCAGACGAGUGGAUUUUGACUAACUGUUAUAUUUCUACCUCGCUAUUGUAAAUAAUGAUAUGUCUUGUAAUACAAUAAGGUUGCUAAAUUUUUCGUAUUAAAUGAAUGAAGAAUUAAUGUCCCCGAUUUGUGUAGUUCCUGGGCAGAUUAAGACUAGAACACAAACAACACUUUGAAAUAAAUUAUUAGACUUUGUGUCUCUGUUUUACAUUUACAUUUCUUAAUGUUUUUAUAUACCAAACAUCUUGGGAAAAACAUACAAUUCAAAGGCACAG